rnacentral:tRNA from 1 species
GCUUUUUUAGUUUAUAAAAAAUAUUAUUUUGUGGUAAUAAAGAAGUUAUUAACAAAAGGCA